rnacentral:rRNA from 1 species
CUUGGUGACAAUAGCGUUUUGGACCCACCUGACCCCAUGCCGAACUCAGUAGUGAAACGAAACAGCUCCGAUG